AAAGUCGUAACAAGGUUUCCGUAGGUGAACCUGCGGAAGGAUCAUUACCACAUCCAAAAUCUAUACAAACCCACCUGUGUGAAGAAGAAAUUUACCUUUUUCUUUUCAAUAACCACUUUUGAACUUUUCUUUGAAGAAGAAAAUAAGUAAGAUCACAAAACAAAAAACAAACCAAGAAAAACAACUUUUAACGGUGGAUCUCUUGGCUCGU
rnacentral:misc_RNA from 1 species